rnacentral:misc_RNA from 1 species
GAUGAAGAACGCAGCGAAAUGCGAUAAGUAAUGUGAAUUGCAGAAUUCAGUGAAUCAUCGAAUCUUUGAACGCACCUUGCGCCCUUUGGCCAUUCCGAAGGGCAUGCCUGUUUGAGUAUCAUGAACACCUCAACUCUUUAUGGUUUUCCAUGAUGAGCUUGGACUUUGGGGGUUUUGCUGGCCUAUGGUCGGCUCCUCUAAAAUAAAUCAGCUUACCGGUGUUUGGUGGGUAUCAUGGGUGUGAUAACUAUCUACGCUUGUGGUUUUUCCACCAGGUAACCUUCGACAGCGGAGGUUCACUGGAGCUCACAGAUGUCUCUCCUCAGCGAGGACAGCCCUUUGAAUGUUUGAUCUCAAAUCAGGUAGGACUACCCGCUGAACUUAAGCAUAUCAAUAAGCGGAGGA